rnacentral:rRNA from 1 species
GGACGAACGCUGGCGGCGUGCUUAACACAUGCAAGUCGAACGGAAAGGCCCUGCUUUUGUGGGGUGCUCGAGUGGCGAACGGGUGAGUAACACGUGAGUAACCUGCCCUUGACUUUGGGAUAACUUCAGGAAACUGGGGCUAAUACCGGAUAGGAGCUCCUGCUGCAUGGUGGGGGUUGGAAAGUUUCGGCGGUUGGGGAUGGACUCGCGGCUUAUCAGCUUGUUGGUGGGGUAGUGGCUUACCAAGGCUUUGACGGGUAGCCGGCCUGAGAGGGUGACCGGCCACAUUGGGACUGCGAUACGGCCCAGACUCCUACGGGAGGUAGCAGUGGGGAAUAUUGCACAAUGGGCGGAAGCCUGAUGCAGCAACGCCGCGUGCGGGAUGACGGCCUUCGGGUUGUAAACCGCUUUCGCCUGUGACGAAGCGUGAGUGACGGUAAUGGGUAAAGAAGCACCGGCUAACUACGUG